rnacentral:tRNA from 1 species
GGAUUUGUAGCUCUGUGGUAGAGCACUUGCCUGGCAUGUGUGAGGCCCUGAGUUUGAUCCUCAGUACCA